AACAACCUUACUUAGAGAGUAAAAUUAAACAAAACCAUAGUAGGCCUAAAAGCAGCCACCAAUUAAGAAAGCGUUCAAGCUCAACAAUACAACCCCCUUAAUCCCAAAAACCUCAACCAACUCCUAACGUACUACUGGGCUAAUCUAUUUAACAAUAGAAGCAAUAAUGCUAGUAUGAGUAACAAGAAGUAUUUCUCCUUGCACAAGCUUAUAACAGCCAACGAAUACCCACUGAUAGUUAACAACACGAUAAAAACAACCACCAAUAAAACACCUAUCAAAUCAAUUGUUAGCCCAACACAGGUGUGCAGCAAGGAAAGAUUAAAAGAAGUAAAAGGAACUCGGCAAACACAAACCCCGCCUGUUUACCAAAAACAUCACCUCCAGCAUACCCAGUAUUGGAGGCACUGCCUGCCCAGUGACACUAGUUUAACGGCCGCGGUAUCCUG
rnacentral:rRNA from 1 species